AUUUAAUCAGUGAUGAAUUCAUAGUUCAAAUGAACUUAAAUGAUUACAACAUUUAAAUGUCUUUCGCUCCUAACUGACUUUAUUU
rfam:Tribolium castaneum strain Georgia GA2 linkage group LG2, whole genome shotgun sequence.